rnacentral:rRNA from 1 species
AUUGAACGCUGGCGGCAGGCCUAACACAUGCAAGUCGAGCGAGCGGCGGACGGGUGAGUAAUGUCUGGGGAUCUGCCUGAUGGAGGGGGAUAACUACUGGAAACGGUAGCUAAUACCGCAUACUAUCAGAUGUGCCCAGAUGGGAUUAGCUAGUAGGUGGGGUAAUGGCUCACCUAGGCGACGAUCCCUAGCUGGUCUGAGAGGAUGACCAGCCACACUGGAACUGAGACACGGUCCAGACUCCGACGGGAGGCAGCAGUGGGGAAUAUUGCACAAUGGGCGCAAGCCUGAUGCAGCCAGGCCGCGUGUAGGAAGAAGGCCUUCGGGUUGUAAAGUACUUUCAGUGGGGAGGCGUUACCGGCAGAAGAAGCACCGGCUAACUCCGUGCCAGCAGCCGCGGUAAUAC